rnacentral:rRNA from 1 species
AUGUCCCUCCAAAGAUAUGACCUUUUAAUGGAUGCAGUUACUAUGUUGUGUCUUCUUCCCUUUGGUAUAACAGAAAGGAUCUGGCAGAAGUCCCCUCCUGGAACCAUUGUCAUGCCCCUGAAUGGUCGCUCAAUGUUGUUCACAUUUUUAUGCCUUAAUAUAUCCCUGAGAGUCCUGUCUAGCGCUUCAAAAUAUAUCUUGUUUGCCAUUGGAGCCUCGUCCCAUAGUAUUAGCGACAUCUUUUUUAGUGUGUCUAUCAAGUGUGAACCUUGUUUGAUGUCACAGGUUGACUCUUCUUUAAGAAUUAGGUGGAUGUGGAACCUUGAGUGCGCCGUUCCAUCUUUGUGUAGAAGCAGCACUGCAAUAACACAUGACACCACUUCUGUUGAGCAAGGCUAUAAUUCUGUGAAGAUGGUACUUACUGGAGGUGGUUUGAUCGCUCAACUGAGCCGAUUGCAGUUGAGGCGAGUCAACAGGAGAAUGGGCCAUUGGAGGGCUGGUUGCCGCUGGAGGAAGACAAUGUCAAAGUGCCACUUGUUGGAUAUGCGGGGUGAUCUGAAGUCAGACAGGACAAUCAAUAAUUGA